AGAGUUUGAUCCUGGCUCAGAGCGAACGCUGGCGGCAGGCCUAACACAUGCAAGUCGAGCGCCGUAGCAAUACGGAGCGGCAGACGGGAGAGUAACACGUGGGAACGUGCCCUUCAGUUCGGAACAACCCAGGGAAACUUGGGCUAAUACCGGAUACGACCGUGGAGCGCAUGCUUCGUGGUGGAAAGCUCCGGCGGUGC
rnacentral:rRNA from 1 species